rnacentral:rRNA from 1 species
UGGGGAAUAUUGCACAAUGGGCGCAAGCCUGAUGCAGCCAUGCCGCGUGUAUGAAGAAGGCCUUCGGGUUGUAAAGUACUUUCAGCGGGGAGGAAGGCGAUAAGGUUAAUAACCUUGUCGAUUGACGUUACCCGCAGAAGAAGCACCGGCUAACUCCGUGCCAGCAGCCGCGGUAAUACGGAGGGUGCAAGCGUUAAUCGGAAUUACUGGGCGUAAAGCGCACGCAGGCGGUCUGUCAAGUCGGAUGUGAAAUCCCCGGGCUCAACCUGGGAACUGCAUUCGAAACUGGCAGGCUAGAGUCUUGUAGAGGGGGGUAGAAUUCCAGGUGUAGCGGUGAAAUGCGUAGAGAUCUGGAGGAAUACGGGUGGCGAAGGCGGCCCCCUGGACAAAGACUGACGCUCAGGUGCGAAAGCGUGGGGAGCAAACA